GGAAAGAGUUAGUGCCAUUUCAACUAGAGAAAAGAGAGAGAGAGAAAGAGAGAAAUAAAAACAUUCCAGCGCAGAAUCUCAUUUUGGACGUCUCAACCAUGCAGGUGGAUUCGAAAGACCAAGUGACACGCAAAAGGACAAGAGAUUAUCAGCCAACACACGCGUUUCCCUCCCGCUCUGUCAACACUGGUAAGUUAGGAAAAUGUCAAAAGUGUCAAGUCUUGCUCGGCGAAUUCUCAUAGAGGCGAAAGACAGCGGCUCUCUCGUACGAGCAGCUUAACCAGCGUCUAAUUAUACAAGCGAUAAAAGUCGGAUAGAUUCUGUACACCAGAGAAUUGAACGAUCAUCCCCGUUUCACCCGCGAUUGCAAGAUGCGACUCGACACGAGAUACAAAACGGAGAUCCCGAAGAAUGCGUCGCGUAACGGUCACGUAAUUAUUUCAAGGACUUGGCGUCGGUGUACUAAAAAAAAAAAAAAAAAAAAAAGAAAAACGAGUCGUAACAAAUAAAACUGCGUUUGCGAUUCGCGAAAAUUGUAAAUCACCUGACCUUUUUUGGAGCGCCGACCACACAAAUGUCAGAGUUGAAUGAACGAUUUCGGAGAGUCGGUCAUCUCUCUAACAACUGGUAAGUAAAUAUAUAAAAUUGAGAAAUAAAUUACAAAAAAUUUCUUGAAUUAAAAAUAUAAUUUACGUCAGGGGAGGUAUAUAUAAUACGAUACAUAUAGCGCAAUUUAACAGACUGGUUAAAGUCAUAUUUAACUUGCAAAUAUUCUUACAUCUGUGUGAAAAAAAACAGGAAAAAAUGUUUUAAGUGUUUUAAGAUAAGAUUUAUAUGCAUACAAAGAUUUCGAAGACUAAACAUUAGAAUUCUCGGAAUGUUUUCAAGUCGGAAUAUGCAAACGAUACAAAAUUGAUGAUAACACGACACUACGAAAUAACACCAUUAUAUCGAUUUCGGCGAAUUUUGCAAUAAAUUAUUUAUGACUGUUUAUGGUUUA